GGAGUCCCAGCUCCGGGUGCCAUGUCGGUUAACGGCGCAGGCGAGGAGGAGCUCCUCCCACGUCCCCCAGAUCUCUCGCUCCAGAUCGCUGGAUCUCGCCAUCGAUGAGUCUCAUCAAGCUGCCUCAAUCGUCACCUCAGAUAAUUCGUAAUUACGCGAUUGACCGGGGGUUUUAAGUAAGCCAAAGAGCUGAAUGGGGACGGAAUGACGAAAUUGCCCCUGUUCGUGUUUCUUUUACUUGUCGUUUUAUUUUGGGUUUCGUAGAAGAAAUGCGAUUUAAUUCGGGGGAAGGAGUGGGACGCGAGACCGCUUCUUCCAGCGAUCCACAUCAGGUGACGGUAUAGAACACAGAAGAGCUGAGGCAUCAAAUCAAAGUUCGACCUGUGGAGGGGCUCCGAUUACGUGGCUCGCUGAAAAUUACGGAUGCCGAAGUUUAUAUUGUGCGUUAUCGUGUUUCGUGAGGCGGUGCGGCGGG